rnacentral:lncRNA from 1 species
UGUGGUAGAGAAUCUAAAGAUGGAUAGGAGUAAGCAUUCCAUUUGUCUUAUGUUGUAGUUAAAACCUCCCUUAGUUAUAGCAAAAGAAAAUUGCAAAGAGUAAGGAAAAAAGCUGGCAUAUAAAAAAGGAGUAAAAAACGUUGAAAGAAGGGUUGGCAUGGCAUGAGGAAGAAUGUGACAAAAAGGAAGUACCGCCCUCAGUUCCGUAUACAUUUGAUAACAACAUAUCAAAAACUUCUAAUCAUGUUCAAAUAAAUUAACAUUAC